rnacentral:rRNA from 1 species
AGGACGAACGCUGGCGGCGCGCUUAACACAUGCAAGUCGAACGGGGUCCUUCGGGGCUCAGUGGCGAACGGGUGCGUAACACGUGAGUGACCUGCCCCUGUAUGGGGGAUAACCCGGGGAAACCCGGGCUAAUACCGCAUGUUCUCUUAGGGCUUCCGGGCUUUAGGAGCAAAGGUGCUUUACGGCAUCGUGCAGGGAGGGGCUCGCGGCGUAUCAGCUAGUUGGUGAGGUAACGGCUCACCAAGGCUAUGACGCGUAGGGGUCUGAGAGGAUGGCCCCCCAGAUUGGGACUGAGAUACGGCCCAGACUCCUACGGGAGCAGCAGUGGGAAUCUGCGCAAGU